CAGCCGUAAACUAUGCGCGUUAGGUGUAUCGGUGACCACGAGUUACCGAGGUGCCGAAGGGAAACCGUGAAACGUGCCGCCUGGGAAGUACGGUCGCAAGGCUGAAACUUAAAGGAAUUGGCGGGGGAGGCACCACAACAGGUGGGAGCCUGCGGUUUAAUUUGGACUCAACGCCGGGAAGCUCACCGGAUAGGACAGCGGAAUGAUUGCCGGGCUGAAGACUCUGCAUGACUAGCUGAGAGGAGGUGCAUGGCGUAGACGUCU
rnacentral:rRNA from 1 species